rnacentral:rRNA from 1 species
GACGAACGCUGGCGGCGUGCUUAACACAUGCAAGUCGAACGAAGUGGCGAACGGGUGAGUAACGCGUAAUAAACCUGCACUUCAGAGGGGGACAACAGUUGGAAACGACUGCUAAUACCGCAUACUGAAGGAGGGGAUUGCGUCUGAUUAGCUAGUUGGAGGGGUACCGGCCCACAAAGGAGAUGAGCAGUAGCCGGUCUUAGCGGAUGAACGGCCACAUUGGUACUGAGACACGGCCCAGACUCCUACGGGAUGCAGCAGUGGGGAAUCUGCCGCAAUGGACGAAAGUCUGACGGAGCAACGCCGCGUGAGUGAUGACGGCCUUCGGGUUGUAAAGCUCUGUUAAUCGGGACGCGGUACCGGAAUAGAAAGCCACGGCUAACUACGUGCCAGCAGCCGCGGUAAUUC